rnacentral:misc_RNA from 1 species
GUUUCAUGCCCUUAAAGAAAUAGGAAAGAAUGAAGGUCUGAAGGGCCUCUACAGGUAUGGUUUACUUUGAUCUGCACGUUUUCAUCUAAAAUAAUUCUUACUGUUUCAUGUUUACAUUGUGAAACCAAUGAAAUUUGUAAAGUUUGUUGAUGACUCUUACCUUGUAAGAACUGAACAUUUUGGCUGCUUUGAACUCUUCAAGUGAAUUAACACACUGAGUUUUGGAUUAAAAAAGAAGAAGAAGA